rnacentral:sRNA from 1 species
AUGUGCCACGCGCACAUUGCGGUUCCUGCACGCCGUCCGCACCCGCCUGACGGCUGCUCGCACGCCUUGUCAGCC